GAUGAACGCUAGCUACAGGCUUAACACAUGCAAGUCGAGGGGAAACGACAUCGAAAGCUUGCUUUUGAUGGGCGUCGACCGGCGCACGGGUGAGUAACGCGUAUCCAACCUGCCCAUCACUUGGGAAUAACCUUGCGAAAGUAAGACUAAUACCCGAUGAUAUCCCACGAAGGCAUCGGAAUGGGAUUAAAGAUUUAUCGGUGAUGGAUGGGGAUGCGUCUGAUUAGCUUGUUGGCGGGGUAACGGCCCACCAAGGCAACGAUCAGUAGGGGUUCUGAGAGGAAGGUCCCCCACAUUGGAACUGAGACACGGUCCAAACUCCUACGGGAGGCAGCAGUGAGGAAUAUUGGUCAAUGGGCGAGAGCCUGAACCAGCCAAGUAGCGUGCAGGAAGACGGCCCUAUGGGUUGUAAACUGCUUUUAUAAGGGAAUAAAGUGGGUCACGUGUGACUUUUUGCAUGUACCUUAUGAAUAAGGACCGGCUAAUUCCGUG
rnacentral:rRNA from 1 species